rnacentral:rRNA from 1 species
GAUGAACGCUGGCGGCGUGCUUAACACAUGCAAGUCGAACGAUGAAGCCCAGCUUGCUGGGUGGAUCAGUGGCGAACGGGUGAGUAACACGUGAGUAACCUGCCCUUAACUCUGGGAUAAGCCUGGGAAACUGGGUCUAAUACCGGAUAGGAGCGUCCACCGCAUGGUGGGUGUUGGAAAGAUUUAUCGGUUUUGGAUGGACUCGCGGCCUAUCAGCUUGUUGGUGAGGUAAUGGCUCACCAAGGCGACGACGGGUAGCCGGCCUGAGAGGGUGACCGGCCACACUGGGACUGAGACACGGCCCAGACUCCUACGGGAGGCAGCAGUGGGGAAUAUUGCACAAUGGGCGCAAGCCUGAUGCAGCGACGCCGCGUGAGGGAUGACGGCCUUCGGGUUGUAAACCUCUUUCAGUAGGGAAGAAGCGAAAGUGACGGUACCUGCAGAAGAAGCACCGGCUAACUACGUG